rnacentral:rRNA from 1 species
GACGAACGCUGGCGGCGUGCCUAACACAUGCAAGUGGAGCGACGAACCAGGCUUCGGCCUGGGGCAGAGCCGCGAACGGGUGAGUAACACGUGGGUAACCUGCCCUGAUGAUUGGGACAACCCGAGGAAACUCGGGCUAAUACCAAAUGUGCCCUCCGACCAUAAGGUCGCUGGGGAAAGGAAGCUUCGGCCUCCGCAUCGGGAUGGGCCCGCGGCCCAUUAGCUUGUUGGUGAGGAAUGGCUCACCAAGGCAACGAUGGGUAGCUGGUCUGAGAGGACGAUCAGCCACACUGGGACUGAGACACGGCCCAGACUCCUACGGAGGCAGCAGUGGGGAAUCUUGCGCAAUGCGCGAAAGCGUGACGCAGCAACGCCGCGUGGGGGAAGAAGGCC